GACGAACGCUGGCGGCGUGCUUAACACAUGCAAGUCGAGCGGUAAGGCCCUUUCGGGGGUACACGAGCGGCGAACGGGUGAGUAACACGUGGGUGACCUGCCCUCAGCUCUGGGAUAAGCCUGGGAAACCGGGUCUGAUACUGGAUAUGACUCCAUGACGCAUGUUGUGGGGUGGAAAGCCUUGUGCGGCUGAGGAUGGGCCCGCGGCCUAUCAGCUUGUUGGUGGGGUGAUGGCCUACCAAGGCGACGACGGGUAGCCGGCCUGAGAGGGCGACCGGCCACACUGGGACUGAGACACGGCCCAGACUCCUACGGGAGGCAGCAGUGGGGAAUCUUGCGCAAUGGGCGAAAGCCUGACGCAGCGACGCCGCGUGAGGGAUGACGGCCU
rnacentral:rRNA from 1 species